rnacentral:rRNA from 1 species
GGAGGGCAAGUCUGGUGCCAGCAGCCGCGGUAAUUCCAGCUCCAAUAGCGUAUAUUAAAGUUGUUGCAGUUAAAAAGCUCGUAGUUGGAUUUCUGUUGUAUAAUUUUAUAAUAUUACCAAGGUAAUUAUUAUAUUAUCAACAUCCUUCCUAUUAUAUUCUAAAUAUAUAGGAAAUUUUACUUUGAGAAAAUUAGAGUGCUUAAAGCAGGCAACUGCCUUGAAUACUCCAGCAUGGAAUAAUAAGUAAGGACUUUUGUCUUUCUUAUUGGUUCUAGGACAAAAGUAAUGGUUAAUAGGGACAGUUGGGGGCAUUCGUAUUUAACAGCCAGAGGUGAAAUUCUUAGAUUUGUUAAAGACGAACUACUGCGAAAGCAUUUGCCAAGGAUGUUUUCAUUAAUCAAGAACGAAAGUUAGGGGAUCGAAGACGAUCAGAUACCGUCGUAGUCUUAACCAUAAACUAUGCCGACUAGAGAUUGGAGGUUGUUCCUUACUCCU